AUUACCUAGGAUGUUGUUAAAAUGCAGAUUCUGAUAAGGGGUGGGGCCCGAGAUUUUGUUUGUCUAACAGGUUUCCAGGUGAUGUGGAUGCUGCU
rnacentral:pre_miRNA from 1 species